rnacentral:lncRNA from 1 species
GCCAAAGUGCUUUUGUAAGUUAGAUAUUUUACAUCAAGUACCAACAGCUAGUAAUCAUAUAGUGGGUCUCUCUUAAAAACUUUUUCACUCUUGCAUUUUUAUUUAGAUAACAUUGCCAUGAUACUUACAGCAAGGGAAUAGAAUGAAUACUUCAGUGUGGUGUUUAGUCAGAAAAGCAGCUGAGAAUGCUUUAACUGUUAUGAAGCAAACUUGACUUUAAUUAACAUGAUUUCAAAUUGGCUGCUCGUACAAGAAUGGGUGUCAUGUAUUACAGGGACAUUUGUUUCAGUGAAAAUAGCACUGAAGAUAAGAACAACUUUUUUCUUUGUUCAUAAGGGGACACCCGGGCUUCCUACUUGAGAGCAUCCUGCAUCAGUGGUACCAAUGCUUUGGGAAGACCAGUGACUGCAAGUUCAAGAAUGCUGAAUUUUCCAAGGUAAGUGUCAGAAAAUAGAUGUAUAUUUUUAUCCCAAGCAUUGCCUCUUGAGUCGUGUCAGGCAAACAGGGGUUCUUCAGGG